GACGUAGGGCGCGAGCGUUGUCCGGAUUUAUUGGGCGUAAAGAGCUCGUAGGCGGCUUGUCGCGUCGACUGUGAAAUCCCGCGGCUCAACUGCGGGUCUGCAGCCGAUACGGGCAGGCUAGAGUUCGGUAGGGGAGACUGGAAUUCCUGGUGUAGCGGUGAAAUGCGCAGAUAUCAGGAGGAACACCAAUUGCGAAGGCAGCUCGCUGGGACGUUUACUGACGCUGAGACGGCGAAAAGCCAGGGGGAGCGAAACGGG
rnacentral:rRNA from 1 species